CCUACGGGCGGCAGCAGUGAGGAAUAUUGGUCAAUGGACGCGAGUCUGAACCAGCCAAGUAGCGUGAAGGAUGACUGCCCUACGGGUUGUAAACUUCUUUUAUAAAGGAAUAAAGUGAGGCACGUGUGCCUUUUUGUAUGUACUUUAUGAAUAAGGAUCGGCUAACUCCGUGCCAGCAGCCGCGGUAAUACGGAGGAUCCGAGCGUUAUCCGGAUUUAUUGGGUUUAAAGGGAGCGUAGAUGGAUUGUUAAGUCAGUUGUGAAAGUUUUCGGCUCAACCAUAAAAUUGCAAUUGAUACUGGCAGCCUUGAGUACAGUAGAGGUAGGCGGAAUUCGUGGUGUAGCGGUGAAAUGCUUAGAUAUCACGAAGAACUCCGAUUGCGAAGGCAGCUGACUAAACUGCCACUGACAGUGAGGCGCGAAAGUGUGGGUAUCAAACAGGAUUAGAUACCCGGGUAGUC
rnacentral:rRNA from 1 species